rnacentral:rRNA from 1 species
UACAGAGGGUGCGAGCGUUAAUCGGAAUUACUGGGCGUAAAGCGUGCGUAGACGGUAGCGUAAGUCAGAUGUGAAAGCCCCGGGCUCAACCUGGGAAUUGCAUUUGAGACUGCUCUGCUCGGGUGCGGAAGAGGGAAGCGGAAUUUCCGGUGUAGCGGUGAAAUGCGUAGAUAUCGGAAGAAACACCAGUGGCGAAAGCGGCUUCCUGGUCCGACACCGACGUUCAGGCACGAAAGCGUGGGGAGCAAACAGG